AGAGGCUGUAGGGAGACUGAACAUGUGCAGGUUGUACAUUUUAGCCUGCCAAGAGUUACAGAUGUGAUGGCUCCUACUUUCAUGUUCACAUUUUAAUUGAAAUUUCUAGUCUGUUCAGUUCUUGUGAGCCGAAAGCAACACUUGCAUAAGUAUUUACUUUCAGUUAGAUAAUACCUUUAGGAUGGACUUUUUCCUGAGACUAAGAAAAGAAGCAAAGGCUUCACUGUAUGGAACACGACAGUGAUAUGGGCAGUUUUGGAAAGGAAGCCAUGUGGAAGCUUUACAGUAAUAUUUGGAAGAGCACAUCUGCAAAAAGGCCUGGAUUUCUCGAUUCAGUUGAUCUCUCAGAAAAAAAAUCAUCACAGAUCUGAUAAAAAGUCAGAGUCCUCAGAGCAAGUAAUGUGCUUGCUAAGCCUUCUACUCAGAGACUGAAACCAGAUCAGAACUGAACAUGUGGAACUCACAGGUUAGCUGGGGAUUACAGGAGCCUUUGCUUAUUUAUUCAAGUGUCCAUCAGUACCCUUCAUUCCUUCAUGACAGAUGUCUAGGUUCUAUCCUUCACUUGAGCUUCUGACUGAUAAGCCUGAUAAGGGUUUUGUGAUUUUACAGGGAGAAAAUAAAUAAUGAUGAUAAUCAUCA
rnacentral:lncRNA from 1 species